AGCUGUGUGACCUGUGCUGUACUAAAAGCGGAACGACACCGCGAGGAUUAGCGUGGCCCCUGAGCAAGGAUGACGCGCAAAUUCGUGAAACGUUCCAUAUUAAA